rnacentral:rRNA from 1 species
UACGUAGGGGGCUAGCGUUGUCCGGAUUUAUUGGGCGUAAAGAGCGUGUAGGCGGCCAGGUAGGUCUGCUGUGAAAACUCGAGGCUUAACCUCGAGCUGUCGGCGGAAACCAUCUGGCUAGAGUCCGGAAGAGGAGAAUGGAAUUCCCGGUGUAGCGGUGAAAUGCGCAGAUAUCGGGAGGUACACCGGUGGCGAAGGCGGCAUCCUGGACCGGCAUUGACGCUGAGGAGCGAAAGCCAGGGGAGCAAACGGG